AUGACAGCAGGCAAAACUAUGACCCACAUACAGAACUAUAUGAGCCAUAAAUCUUGACAAGGCUCACACAGAAUGACACAAUAUGGAAAUGACAGACAAGAUUUUCAUAUCUCUUAAAACAUCUGCAAGUGCUUUUGUCCGUCCUCAUAUCCACUUCGGUCAGACAUAAAAUAUAAAUCCACAAUGCUGGCUGUGUAAUGAAUAGUGCCUUACUGUUGAUAUGGACAGGGUUACAGUGGAGCCCCACGAGCAUAGCACCAGCUGUUAGUGUCUAAUACCGCUCUGACGUGACAUACCACAACUACUGAGCAUACACUGGAUCACAGACCCGGUACCUGCUGGAAUUGUUUUAAAAUGUCACAAUACGCAACCUUAAAACACGGCCCCACUUACAACAAACGAGACAGACAGACACAAGAUACAGAAACAAGACGUGACUAAUAUUUUUAUAUAUUCCAACAAAAUGACUACUGCCAGCAUAAACUUAUGAGGUCCAUCAAGUCUGAUUGGCAGCAGCGUCUGACAGACACUAGUGACAGUGAACAGGACUGGGUUAGACGCCCCACUGUGCAGCAUUAAUGAUGGACCUUCUUGGUGGCAAGUCCUUGAACCGUUUGAUCAAGCACAGACUCUCAUUAUUCAGCGGCUACCAGUCAUGUAUCAUCCGAUAAAAUGACUUCUUAUAAUUGGCACACAGAUUCGGGUACAAUAACACGCUUCAGCACACAAGACAAAAAUCUGCCUCCCUCACCCCUACAAAAAUGGAAGCCUGGAAGCCUAUGCAUAACAACAAGUGACACUUUUCCUGCAUUUGGGGUCACAGUUAUGGUGAGAGCAGCUGAAGACUCACUUGGUGAACAAGUAUACAAUAAUACUCAAUAUUAUUAUAAAAGCUUACCUCAUUGGGCACAGUAAUAGCAAACCUGAUCAGGCUUGACUGCAUCAUGCAACUUAACGAACAAGCGUGGUACAAAUGACACUGGUGUAGGAAGUGUGUGUGUGGGGGGGGGGGGGGGGGGGGGG
rnacentral:lncRNA from 1 species